rnacentral:rRNA from 1 species
GAUGAACGCUGGCGGCGUGCCUAAUACAUGCAAGUCGAGCGAACGGACGAGAAGCUUGCUUCUCUGAUGUUAGCGGCGGACGGGUGAGUAACACGUGGAUAACCUACCUAUAAGACUGGGAUAACUUCGGGAAACCGGAGCUAAUACCGGAUAAUAUUUUGAACCGCAUGGUUCAAAAGUGAAAGACGGUCUUGCUGUCACUUAUAGAUGGAUCCGCGCUGCAUUAGCUAGUUGGUAAGGUAACGGCUUACCAAGGCAACGAUGCAUAGCCGACCUGAGAGGGUGAUCGGCCACACUGGAACUGAGACACGGUCCAGACUCCUACGGGAGGCAGCAGUAGGGAAUCUUCCGCAAUGGGCGAAAGCCUGACGGAGCAACGCCGCGUGAGUGAUGAAGGUCUUCCGAUCGUAAAACUCUGUUAUUAGGGAAGAACAUAUGUGUAAGUAACUGUGCACAUCUUGACGGUACCUAAUCAGAAAGCCACGGCUAACUACGUGCCAGCAGCCGCGGUAAUACGUAGGUGGCAAGCGUUAUCCGGAAAUUAUGGGCGUAAAGCGCGCGUAGCGGUUUUUUAAGUCUGAUGUGAAAGCCCACGGCUCAACCGUGGAGGGUCAUUGGAAACUGGAAAACUUGAGUGCAGAAGAGGAAAGUGGAAUUCCAUGUGUAGCGGUGAAAUGCGCAGAGAUAUGGAGGAACACCAGUGGCGAAGGCGACUUUCUGGUCUGUAACUGACGCUGAUGUGCGAAAGCGUGGGGAUCAAACAGGAUUAGAUACCCUGGUAGUCCACGCCGUAAACGAUGAGUGCUAAGUGUUAGGGGGUUUCCGCCCCUUAGUGCUGCAGCUAACGCAUUAAGCACUCCGCCUGGGGAGUACGACCGCAAGGUUGAAACUCAAAGGAAUUGACGGGGACCCGCACAAGCGGUGGAGCAUGUGGUUUAAUUCGAAGCAACGCGAAGAACCUUACCAAAUCUUGACAUCCUUUGACAACUCUAGAGAUAGAGCCUUCCCCUUCGGGGGACAAAGUGACAGGUGGUGCAUGGUUGUCGUCAGCUCGUGUCGUGAGAUGUUGGGUUAAGUCCCGCAACGAGCGCAACCCUUAAGCUUAGUUGCCAUCAUUAAGUUGGGCACUCUAAGUUGACUGCCGGUGACAGACCGGAGGAAGGUGGGGAUGACGUCAAAUCAUCAUGCCCCUUAUGAUUUGGGCUACACACGUGCUACAAUGGACAAUACAAAGGGCAGCGAAACCGCGAGGUCAAGCAAAUCCCAUAAAGUUGUUCUCAGUUCGGAUUGUAGUCUGCAACUCGACUACAUGAAGCUGGAAUCGCUAGUAAUCGUAGAUCAGCAUGCUACGGUGAAUACGUUCCCGGGUCU